rnacentral:rRNA from 1 species
GACGAACGCUGGCGGCGUGCUUAACACAUGCAAGUCGAACGAAGAGCGAUGGAAGCUUGCUUCUAUCAAUCUUAGUGGCGCACGGGUGAGUAACGCGUAAUCAACCUGCCCUUCAGAGGGGGACAACAGUUGGAAACGACUGCUAAUACCGCAUACGAUCUAAUCUCGGCAUCGAGGAUAGAUGAACGGUGGCCUCUACAUGUAAGCUAUCACUGAAGGCGGGGAUUGCGUCUGAUUAGCCAGUUGGAGGGGUAACGGCCCACCAAGGCGAUGAUCAGUAGCCGGUCUGAGAGGAUGAACGGCCACAUUGGGACUGAGACACGGCCCAGACUCCUACGGGAGGCAGCAGUGGGGAAUCUUCCGCAAUGGACGAAAGUCUGACGGAGCAACGCCGCGUGAGUGAUGACGGCCUUCGGGUUGUAAAGCUCUGUUAAUCGGGACGAAAGGCCUUCUUGCGAAUAGGGAGAAGGAUUGACGGUACCGGAAUAGAAAGCCACGGCUAACUACGUG